rnacentral:rRNA from 1 species
AUUGAACGCUGGCGGCAGGCCUAACACAUGCAAGUCGAGCGGAUGAGAGGAGCUUGCUCCUCGAUUCAGCGGCGGACGGGUGAGUAAUGCCUAGGAAUCUGCCUAGUAGUGGGGGACAACGUUUCGAAAGGAACGCUAAUACCGCAUACGUCCUACGGGAGAAAGUGGGGGAUCUUCGGACCUCACGCUAUUAGAUGAGCCUAGGUCGGAUUAGCUAGUUGGUAGGGUAAAGGCCUACCAAGGCGACGAUCCGUAACUGGUCUGAGAGGAUGAUCAUUCACACUGGAACUGAGACACGGUCCAGACUCCUACGGGAGGCAGCAGUGGGGAAUAUUGGACAAUGGGCGAAAGCCUGAUCCAGCCAUGCCGCGUGUGUGAAGAAGGCCUUCGGGUCGUAAAGCACUUUAAGUUGGGAGGAAGGGCUCAUAGCGAAUACCUGUGAGUUUUGACGUUACCAACAGAAUAAGCACCGGCUAACUUCGUGCCAGCAGCCGCCGUAAUAC